rnacentral:rRNA from 1 species
UACAGAGGGGGCAAGCGUUGUUCGGAAUUACUGGGCGUAAAGGGCGCGUAGGCGGCCUGCUAAGUCGAACGUGAAAUCCCUGGGCUCAACCCAGGAACUGCGUCCGAUACUGGUUGGCUUGAAUCCGGGAGAGGGAUGUGGAAUUCCAGGUGUAGCGGUGAAAUGCGUAGAUAUCUGGAGGAACACCGGUGGCGAAGGCGACAUCCUGGACCGGUAUUGACGCUGAGGCGCGAAAAGCCAGGGGAGCAAACGGG